GGAUCAGUUGGUCGAUCGUGCCUCGGUACGUACUGGUCAAAUUGAUUCCUACCUUCUGACGAACCACGAUGUCAUUAAUUUGGUGCCGCGGGAAAUCAGGACUGUUACUUUGAAAAAAUUAGAGUGUUUAAAGCAGGCUAACGCCUGAAUACAUUAGCAUGGAAUAAUGAAAUAGGACGUUCGAUCCUAUUUUGUUGGUUUCUAGGAUUGACGUA
rnacentral:rRNA from 1 species